rnacentral:rRNA from 1 species
UGGGGAAUUUUGGACAAUGGGCGAAAGCCUGAUCCAGCAAUGCCGCGUGUGUGAAGAAGGCCUUCGGGUUGUAAAGCACUUUUGUCCAGAAAGAAAUCCUUGGCUCUAAUACAGUCGGGGGAUGACGGUACCGGAAGAAUAAGCACCGGCUAACUACGUGCCAGCAGCCGCGGUAAUACGUAGGGUGCAAGCGUUAAUCGGAAUUACUGGGCGUAAAGCGUGCGCAGGCGGUUUGCUAAGACCGAUGUGAAAUCCCCGGGCUCAACCUGGGAACUGCAUUGGUGACUGGCAGGCUAGAGUAUGGCAGAGGGGGGUAGAAUUCCACGUGUAGCAGUGAAAUGCGUAGAGAUGUGGAGGAAUACCGAUGGCGAAGGCAGCCCCCUGGGCCAAUACUGACGCUCAUGCACGAAAGCGUGGGGAGCAAACAGGAUUAGAUACCCUGGCAGUCCACGCCCUAAACGAUGUCAACUAGUUGUUGGGGAUUCAUUUCCUUAGUAACGUAGCUAACGCGUGAAGUUGACCGCCUGGGGAGUACGGUCGCAAGAUUAAAA